GACGAACGCUGGCGGCGUGCUUAACACAUGCAAGUCGAACGGAAAGGCCCUGCUUUUGUGGUGUGCUCGAGUGGCGAACGGGUGAGUAACACGUGAGUAACCUGCCCUUGACUUUGGGAUAACUUCAUGAAACUUGGGCUAAUACCGGAUAGGAGCUCCUGCUGCAUGGUGGGGGUUGGUAAGUUUCGGCGGUUGGGGAUGGACUCGCGGCUUAUCAGCUUGUUGGUGGGGUAGUGUCUUACCAAGGCUUUGACGGGUAGCCGGCCUGAGAGGGUGACAGGCCACAUUGGGACUGAGAUACGGCCCAGACUCCUACGCGAGGCAGCAGUGACGAAUAUUGCAAAAUGGGCGGAAGCCUGAUGCAGCAACGCAGCGUGCGGGAUGACGGACUUCGGGUUGUAAACCGCUUUCGCCUGUGACGAAGCGUGAGUGACGGUAAUGGGUAAAUCAGCACCGGCUAAAUACGUG
rnacentral:rRNA from 1 species